rnacentral:rRNA from 1 species
AUUGAACGCUGGCGGCAGGCCUAACACAUGCAAGUCGAACGAGUGGCGGACGGGUGAGUAAUGUCUGGGAAACUGCCUGAUGGAGGGGGAUAACUACUGGAAACGGUAGCUAAUACCGCAUACCAUCAGAUGUGCCCAUCUGGGAUUAGCUAGUUGGUGGGGUAACGGCUCACCAAGGCGACGAUCCCUAGCUGGUCUGAGAGGAUGACCAGCCACACUGGAACGGAGAAACGGUCCAGACGCCGCCGGGAGGCAGCAGUGGGGAAUAUUGCACAAUGGGCGCAAGCCUGAUGCAGCCAGGCCGCGUGUAUGAAGAAGGCCUUCGGGUUGUAAAGUACUUUCAGCGGGGAGGCGUUACCCGCAGAAGAAGCACCGGCUAACUCCGUGCCAGCAGCCGCGGUAAUUC